rnacentral:rRNA from 1 species
UACGGAGGGUGCAAGCGUUACCCGGAAUCACUGGGCGUAAAGGGCGCGUAGGUGGCCCGGUCAGUUCGUGGUGAAAGCGCGGGGCUCAACCCUGCGUCGGCCAUGAAUACUGCCGCGGCUGGAGCACUGUAGAGGCAGGCGGAAUUCCGGGUGUAGCGGUGGAAUGCGUAGAGAUCCGGAAGAACACCGGUGGCGAAGGCGGCCUGCUGGGCAGUUGCUGACACUGAGGCGCGACAGCGUGGGGAGCGAACAGG